UACGAAGGGGGCUAGCGUUGCUCGGAAUGGCUGGGCGUAAAGGGCGCGUAGGCGGUUUGCACAGUCAGGCGUGAAAGUUCCUGGGCUUCAACCUGGGGGCUGCGGCUUGAUACGUGUGGACUGGAGUGCGGAAGAGGGUCGUGGAAUUCCCAGUGUAGAGGUAGAAAUUCGUAGAUAUUGGGAAGAACACCGGUGGCGAAGGCGGCGACCUGGUCCGUGACUGACGCUGAGGCGCGAAAGCGUGGGGAGCAAACAGGG
rnacentral:rRNA from 1 species